GACGAACGCUGGCGGCGUGCCUAAUACAUGCAAGUUGAACGCUGAAGGUUGGUCUUUCUCUUCUCGGUGAGUGCCGCACGGGGGUGUGUAACGUGGGUAACCUGCCUCUUAGAGGGGGGGACCUCAUGGGAACACUAGUGAUUACAGCGCAUCAACAGUUUAAGCACGAGAACUAAGUAUGAAAGGCGCCUGUGCCUCUACCAGAGAGGACUGCGUUGUAUUAGCUAGUUGGGGAGGUAACGGCUCACCAAGGCGACGAUACAUAGCCGACCUGAGAGGGUGAUCGGCCACACUGGGACUGAGACACGGCCCAAACUCCUACGGGAGGCAGCAGUAGGGAAUCUUCGGCAAUGGACGGAAGUCUGACCGAGCAACGCCGCGUGAGUGAAGAAGGUUUUCGGAUCGUAAAGCUCUGUUGUUAGAGAAGAACGAGGGUGAGAGUGGAAAGUUCACACAGUGACGGUAACUAACCAGAAAGGGACGGCUAACUACGUG
rnacentral:rRNA from 1 species